GGACUGGUUUGCCCACUCAUGUAGGAGAAUGUUUUUAGACAUUCGUCUCAUAAAUUGAUGACCUUUACAUUGAUCUUAUCUCCAUGAGCAGGGGUGAAGGAAGACAACAGUAAAUGCGCCACAACCUGGAGCCAUGCAGUGUGAGGCACAAGAGCAGCAAGUGAGAGGAUUCGGGUUGCGUGUCAAGUGAAGCAUCUUGAGGUGAUGUGCGCUAGACUACAAGGUUCAAGAGAAAAAUGACCAUUGUGCUGUCAGACUAAGAGGAGAAGAUUCAUUUUCGGCAUCGCUUCACCCGAGAUGAUCUCAUUACUUUGUGUGAGUGGACAAUCACAGCAUUGAGCUGAGCCUCCACCCUCAGUGGUGCUUCUUUGCUGCUGCAUAUUGAUUUUACUUUCUAAUAUAAAGACGAGCAGG